rnacentral:rRNA from 1 species
AUUGAACGCUGGCGGCAUGCCUUACACAUGCAAGUCGAACGGCAGCGCGGGCUUCGGCCUGGCGGCGAGUGGCGAACGUGUGAGUAAUGCCUCGGAACGUGCCCAGUAGUGGGGGAUAUCCCCGCGAAAGCCGGAUUAAUCCCGCAUACUACCUGAGUGUGAACGCGGGGGACCGAAAGGCCUCGCGCUAUUGGAGCGGCCGAUGUCGGAUUAGCUAGUUGGUGGGGUAAAGGCUUACCAAGGCGACGAUCCGUAGCUGGUCUGAGAGGAAGACCAGCCACACUGGGACUGAGACACGGCCCAGACUCCUACGGGAGGCAGCAGUGGGGAAUUUUGGACAAUGGGGGCAACCCUGAUCCAGCCAUGCCGCGUGCGGGAAGAAGGCCUUCGGGUUGUAAACCGCUUUUGUACGGGAAGAAAUCCUCUGGGCUAAUACCCCGGGGGGAUGACGGUACCGGAAGAAUAAGCACCGGCUAACUACGUG